rnacentral:lncRNA from 1 species
GAAUUUACAAAAGCAAGCUAAAUAGGGUAACCAACCACUAUGUUCUCUGUCUCUCUCUUUAUUUAUUUUCUAUUAUUAUUAAUAAUAUAUAUGACAGUGGUUGGUGGUUGGUUGGUUGCAGGUGGUGCUGGUAUUUAAGGAAGGGAGUGAGGCUUCUCCAAGUCCUCCAGACUGGUGGGGCGAAACCAGGCCUUCUCCUCCAGCACAUCAGAGUGAAAGGGGCGUUCUCCGCCGCCAGUGGAGGUCGGAGGAGAUGCAAGGUGGUCGCCGCCGGGAGGCCCAAAUACCCCAGUCUGAGGGUGUGGGGCCCAGUAUUUGCCUGACUGGGUGGCGUGGUUCACAUCGUCUGGGACAGGAGCAGAGUGGAUAUGAUCAUCAGGGUUUUUGUCGUAUACCGA